rnacentral:rRNA from 1 species
UACGGGGGGAGCAAGCGUUGUUCGGAUUUACUGGGCGUAAAGGGCGCGUAGGCGGCACCGCAAGUCAGUUGUGAAAUCUCUGGGCUUAACCCAGAAAGGUCAACUGAUACUGCGGGGCUAGAGUGCAGAAGGGGCAACUGGAAUUCUCGGUGUAGCGGUGAAAUGCGUAGAUAUCGAGAGGAACACCUGCGGCGAAGGCGGGUUGCUGGGCUGACACUGACGCUGAUGCGCGAAAGCGUGGGGAGCAAACAGG